UACGUAGGGGGCAAGCGUUGUCCGGAAUCAUUGGGCGUAAAGAGCGUGUAGGCGGCUCGGUAAGUCCGCUCUGAAAGCCCGGGGCUCAACCCCGGGAGGCGGGCGGAUACUGUCGGGCUAGAGUCCGGAAGAGGCGAGUGGAAUUCCUGGUGUAGCGGUGAAAUGCGCAGAUAUCAGGAGGAACACCAAUGGCGAAGGCAGCUCGCUGGGACGGUACUGACGCUGAGGAGCGAAAGCAUGGGGAGCGAACAGG
rnacentral:rRNA from 1 species